rnacentral:rRNA from 1 species
AUUGAACGCUGGCGGCAGGCCUAACACAUGCGAGUCGAGCGGAUGAAGGGAGCUUGCUCCUGGAUUCAGCGGCGGACGGGUGAGUAAUGCCUAGGAAUCUGCCUGGUAGUGGGGGAUAACGUCCGGAAACGGACGCUAAUACCGCAUACGUCCUGAGGGAGAAAGUGGGGGAUCUUCGGACCUCACGCUAUCAGAUGAGCCUAGGUCGGAUUAGCUAGUUGGUGGGGUAAAGGCCUACCAAGGCGACGAUCCGUAACUGGUCUGAGAGGAUGAUCAGUCACACUGGAACUGAGACACGGUCCAGACUCCUACGGGAGGCAGCAGUGGGGAAUAUUGGACAAUGGGCGAAAGCCUGAUCCAGCCAUGCCGCGUGUGUGAAGAAGGUCUUCGGAUUGUAAAGCACUUUAAGUUGGGAGGAAGGGCAGUAAGUUAAUACCUUGCUGUUUUGACGUUACCAACAGAAUAAGCACCGGCUAACUUCGUG